CCUACGGGGUGCAGCAGUGGGGAAUAUUGCGCAAUGGGGGCAACCCUGACGCAGCAACGCCGCGUGAUUGAAGAAGGCCUUCGGGUUGUAAAGAUCUUUAAUCGGGGACGAAUUUUGACGGUACCCGAAGAAUAAGCAUCGGCUAACUCCGUGCCAGCAGCCGCGGUAAUACGGAGGAUGCGAGCGUUAUCCGGAUUUAUUGGGUUUAAAGGGUGCGCAGGCGGAGGUGCAAGUCAGCGGUCAAAUUGCGGGGCUCAACCCCGUACUGCCGUUGAAACUGCAUCCCUUGAGUGCGCGAGAAGUAUGCGGAAUGCGUGGUGUAGCGGUGAAAUGCAUAGAUAUCACGCAGAACUCCGAUUGCGAAGGCAGCAUACCGGCGCGCAACUGACGCUCAUGCACGAAAGCGUGGGUAUCGAACAGGAUUAGAUACCCUGGUAGUC
rnacentral:rRNA from 1 species